rnacentral:rRNA from 1 species
CCUACGGGAGGCAGCAGUGAGGAAUAUUGGUCAAUGGGCGGGAGCCUGAACCAGCCAAGCCGCGUGAAGGAAGAAGGCGCCAGGCGUCGUAAACUUCUUUUGUCGGGGAACAAAGGGCGCCACGCGUGGCGUUGUGAGUGUACCCGAAGAAAAAGCAUCGGCUAACUCCGUGCCAGCAGCCGCGGUAAUACGGAGGAUGCGAGCGUUAUCAGGAUUUACUGGGUGUAAAGGGAGUGUAGGCGGGAAAGCAAGUCAGAUGUGAAAACCAUGGGCUCAACCUGUGGCCUGCAUUUGAAACUGUUUUUCUUGAGUACUGGAGAGGCAGACGGAAUUCCUAGUGUAGCGGUGAAAUGCGUAGAUAUUAGGAGGAACACCAGUGGCGAAGGCGGUCUGCUGGACAGCAACUGACGCUGAGGCGCGAAAGCGUGGGGAGCAAACAGGAUUAGAUACCCGAGUAGUC